CAUCCUUAGUUUUUAGGCUACGAUGUACCAUGAGAACUCCACGUUGUCCGCUUAAUAAUUAUCAGUUUGUAGUCAUUCUCUAUUUCUUUAAUUUCUUAAAACUACCUGCUAAUUUGUUCAUAAAAAAUUGGACUGCUUUUUCGUUUCCGUGUGGACUGCCAAAUGUUCGUUGACAGGAAUGCGGAAGAACGAAGUUUAUUGGCAUUUGUAACUGACAUGGCUCCAGGGGUUUUUUGAACGUGUUUAUAAUCAAAAUUCCGCAAUAAUGCCUCCUACCUAUCCUUGCACUCAACUUUGUUUUGACAUUAAAUACUAGAAAUUCCACAGUCAAUACAACUCGUACUUUCAGUGUAAAUAUCCACAGCUAUUUACUACGCAAGUUAGUGCAAUUCCAUAUGAGGAUAUAUGAAAGGACCAAAUAUCGUUUUGUUAACUUGUUCUAUUAUAUAAUCGGCAUAUCAUUGUAUGCAGUGGGAAUUUAUGCACCGGGAUCGCCAAAUAUAAUAAAUAUUCUAUUACAGAGGUUUUAUGUAUAUUUUUAACAAUUGGGUUUAUCUCUAAUCACGGGUCGACCAAACGUAACAAAAGGAUGCUGGCAGAAAUAAUAUAAUAUAAGUGAUUUUAAUGAAACCGUCAAAAACUUUGCUCGUA